rnacentral:rRNA from 1 species
UACGAGGGGGGCGAGAGUUGUUCGGAAUUAUUGGGCGUAAAGGGCGCGUAGGCGGUUCGGUAAGUUUCGUGUGAAAUCUUCGGGCUCAACUCGAAGCCUGCACGAGAUACUGCCGGGCUUGAGUGUGGGAGAGGUGAGUGGAAUUUCCGGUGUAGCGGUGAAAUGCGUAGAUAUCGGAAGGAACACCUGUGGCGAAAGCGGCUCACUGGACCACAACUGACGCUGAGGCACGAAAGCUAGGGGAGCAAACAGG